UCCGACUGUGUAGCAAUUAUUUUUGUCUACCCCUCAUUUCUCGAACGUUGCGAAAUCGACAUUGGAAUCGCGAACCGCAUCAUCCCGUGCAGCGCCAGAACAUCCGAGACCGAGCCAGGAGAACGAAUGACUCUGAUUUCUCACCAGAUUCAUCGAUCGUUUCGCCAGACUCCGGAGACCCAGGGUAAACUCGGUGAAAAGCAGAGUGACCUAAAAGCGGAGUCAUCACUCUGUUGACCGUCCACGCGUAUGACGAAUAAGAAACAUUUAUGAAAAUACAUUAAAGCAUUCUAAAAUAAGAUCGCUUCGGAUAAAGUACGCCUUUAGAUUUUGCUCAAAUCUUUACUUAUUCUUCGACUAUGAAUCUAAAGAGCGCCUUAAAAUGAAACUUAAGAUAGGCCAGGCACGCCAGGCCGAGCGAGUGGAGCGAACGAAGAGAGAGACAGAGAGAUAGUUGGAAGAGGUGCUGACUCUUUCUAAUGCUAUGUGGAGGGAGCACCUCCAUUCUCUUCCUUUCCUUCUCCGCACUAGCAGACGAGCGUAGACGUGUGCAGCAAUAUACGAAGU